AUACGGAGGAUCCGAGCGUUAUCCGGAUUUAUUGGGUUUAAAGGGUGCGCAGGCGGGAGAUUAAGUCGGCGGGGAAAUUUUGCAGCUCAACUGUAAAAGUGCCUUCGAAACUGGUUUCCUUGAGUGUAGAUGAAGUAGGCGGAAUUUGUGGGGUAGCGGUGAAAUGCAUAGAUAUCACGAGGAACUCCGAUUGCGCAGGCAGCUUACUAAACUACUACUGACGCUCAGGCACGAAGGCGUGGGGAUCAAACAGGAUUAGAUACCCCGGUAGUCCACGCAGUAAACGAUGAUUACUAGCUGUUUGCGAUACAAUGUAAGCGGCUGAGCGAAAGCGUUAAGUAAUCCACCUGGGGAGUACGUUCGCAAGAAUGAAACUCAAAUGAAUUGACGGGG
rnacentral:rRNA from 1 species